CCUACGGGUGGCAGCAGUGGGGAAUAUUGGACAAUGGGCGAAAGCCUGAUCCAGCCAUGCCGCGUGUGUGAAGAAGGCCUUCGGGUUGUAAAGCACUUUCAGUGGGGAAGAAAGCCUUGGGGCUAAUACCCUCGAGGAAGGACAUCACCCACAGAAGAAGCACCGGCUAACUCCGUGCCAGCAGCCGCGGUAAUACGGAGGGUGCGAGCGUUAAUCGGAAUUACUGGGCGUAAAGCGCGCGUAGGCGGUCUGAUAAGCCGGUUGUGAAAGCCCCGGGCUCAACCUGGGAACGGCAUCCGGAACUGUCAGGCUUGAGUGCAGGAGAGGAAGGUAGAAUUCCCGGUGUAGCGGUGAAAUGCGUAGAGAUCGGGAGGAAUACCAGUGGCGAAGGCGGCCUUCUGGACUGACACUGACGCUGAGGUGCGAAAGCGUGGGUAGCAAACAGGAUUAGAUACCCUGGUAGUC
rnacentral:rRNA from 1 species